AUUAAAACAGAAAUAAAAUAUAAGUUUGGAAAGAUUUAACCGAGAGAGAAGGCAGCUUGCUGCUUCUGUUUUUCUCCCCGCAAGCGCUGCUUUGCUGCUUCCCUCCUAGCCCUCUCUCCGUCCUUCACUACUCUCCGACUGUCCUCACGUCUGUUUGCUUCUCUGCACUUUCUUCUUCUUUAUUUCUCCAUCAUUCCCAUGUCUCCCACUUAUUUAUUUUCUUAUUCUUCUUUCUCCGCACAGUCCGCAAGUCUCUCCCUUUCCUCUUUUAUUAUUCAAUUUCUUGAUAGUCCACUUCCUUCCUUUGUUUAAUGCCGUGUUGCACUCUGUCUUUUCUCUAUUCUUUUCUGCCCAUUUUGUUUGAAAUUAAUCCUACAAUACAAUUAACGGUACAUUAACACAAGGUAAGGUACAUUGCUACAAUUUUAACAUAAAAACAUCACAAAAACUUUAGAAAUGGAUGGUAUAAAUGCAUGAAAUAUAUGAGUGAUCAGGCAAAGGCAAAUACGGUAGCC
rnacentral:lncRNA from 1 species